CAGAACAUGGAGCUGGUGGAGACCAGACCUUCUGGGGAUGGAACCUUCCAGAAGUGGGCAUCUCUGGUGGUGCCUUCUGGGGAGGAGCACAAAUACACAUGCCAUGUGUACCAUGAGGGGCUGCCUGAGCCCCUCACCCUGAGAUGGGGCAGAAACGCAGAGGUCUAUGCUCCAGCUCCAGCGUGAAGACAGCUGCCUGGUGUGGAUGGAGUGACAGACGAUGUGUUCAGGUCUCUCCUGUGACAUCCAGAGCCCUCAGUUCACUCUCAGCAAUAGUGUCUGAUGUUCCCUGUGAUCCCAUGGGCUCAGUGUGAAGAACUGGGGAGCCCAGCCCACUCGUGCACACCAGGAUCCUGUUCCUGCACUGCCCUGUUCUCUUCUACAGCCAACCUUCCUGUUCCUGCAGACAGGAGGGGACAUCUCCAUCCUGUCUCCUCCAUGCUGUCCUGAGCUGCAACCCUGACUUCCCCUCUGAAAAUAAGAAUCUGAAUGUGAACUUGGUUGUUCACGUCCUUGAUCUCAAAGUUGAUUGGUGGUAAAAUAAAGGAUUGAGAUAGAGUUUGUGGAGGAAAUAAAUGGCAGCGUGGAGAACCUCCCAGAA